AUUGAACGCUGGCGGCAUGCCUUACACAUGCAAGUCGAACGGUAACGGGCCUUCGGGUGCCGACGAGUGGCGAACGGGUGAGUAAUGUAUCGGAACGUACCUUUCAGUGGGGGAUAACGUAGCGAAAGUUACGCUAAUACCGCAUAUUCUGUGAGCAGGAAAGCAGGGGAUCGCAAGACCUUGCGCUGAUUGAGCGGCCGAUAUCAGAUUAGCUGGUUGGGGAGGUAAAGGCUCACCAAGGCGGCGAUCUGUAGCGGGUCUGAGAGGAUGAUCCGCCACACUGGAACUGAGACACGGUCCAGAAUCCUACGGGGGGCAGCAGUGGGGAAUUUUGGACAAUGGGGGCAACCCUGAUCCAGCCAUGCCGCGUGAGUGAAGAAGGCCUUCGGGUUGUAAAGCUCUUUCGGCCGGGAAGAAAUCGUAUCAGCUAAUACCUGGUGCGGAUGACGGUACCGGCAUAAGAAGCACCGGCUAACUACGUGCCAGCCGCCGCGGUAAGAC
rnacentral:rRNA from 1 species